rnacentral:misc_RNA from 1 species
UACGGAGGGGGCUAGCGUUGUUCGGAAUUACUGGGCGUAAAGCGCGCGUAGGCGGGUUGGUGAGUUGGGGGUGAAAUCCCGGGGCUUAACCUCGGAAUGGCCCUCAAUACUGCCAGCCUUGAGUUCGAGAGAGGUAAGUGGAAUUCCUAGUGUAGAGGUGAAAUUCGUAGAUAUUAGGAAGAACACCAGUGGCGAAGGCGGCUUACUGGCUCGAUACUGACGCUGAGGCGCGAAAGCGUGGGGAGCAAACAGG